UCCUACGGGGCGCAGCAGUAGGGAAUUUUCGUCAAUGGGCGCAAGCCUGAACGAGCAAUGCCGCGUGAACGAGGAAGGUCUUCGGAUCGUAAAGUUCUGUUGAAGGGGAAAAAGAGCGGAGAGAGGAAAUGGUCUCCGAUUGAUAUUACCCUUCGAGGAAGUCACGGCUAACUACGUGCCAGCAGCCGCGGUAUGCGUAGGUGGCGAGCGGUAUCCGGAAUGGUUGGGCGUAAAGGGGGCGUAAGCGGCC
rnacentral:rRNA from 1 species